UUGGAGAUCUAGCUCGGUGGUAGAGCGCUUGCCUAGCAUGCACCAGGCCCUAGGUUCCAUUCCCAGCUCUGCAAA
rnacentral:tRNA from 1 species